rnacentral:lncRNA from 1 species
GGGCUGAUGGCAGAAAGCGGCGGAAGUGGUCAUGUGUGCUUCGUGACCACAUACCUCCAAGAGUGGGAAGAUGGCUUUGCAAACCCUUUUGUGGCUUCCACCAGAAAAGUGUAUGAACAAAAUUUAGUGCAAUUGUCGGUUCCACCACCCUGUGCACCGCCUAUGCUGAAUGGACCCAGAAAGCCGGACGGAUCUAAGGACAAGGAUGACAGUGAAGCUGGAGCUCCAAGAGCCGAAGUGAUGGGCCUAUCAUGUAGCUCAGAAGAUAAGCACACAAUGAAGAGAGCCCUGCAGGGUAAGACCAUCUGUCUUCACCACCGUUCUCUGCUUGCAACUAGAACAGUACCAGGCACAAAGCAAGAAUUCAGUAUAUGUUAUGUUUGUGGAAUGGAAGUGACAGAACUGAGAUUUGAACCCAGUACUGGCUCUCAAAAUUGUGCCUUUUCCACUACAUACUCUACCCUUUUCUCAUGAUGUCGAUUGUGAGGAUGAACACUUUACAUUUUGGACCACAUUUGAUCUGUGAAAAAGACUGUUUCACAUGGUUCAUAUUAGCAGUUCAACAAAGAAUAUAAGUGGAAACUCUCCUGUAAUUUCCUUUGGAAACUCUCUCCUGUAAUUCUGGUACUGAAGAUAUACAGAGCUUUUCCCAGGGGUUGGGCACAGCUGGACUCAUUUGAAAAGGACAGCAAGGUUCAGGACAGAUGCACUGGCCCCUGAGUAGGACAGUUAGUGCAAAGGUGCCACAAGGCAAGUGGCAGUCCUGCGUCCCUCCUGGAUAUUCAGCAUGUCUUGUGUCCUGU